CAGCACCUGGGGCACAAAGGACAAGGCGAGUUAACCCCGGGAAGGUCCCUGGCACCCCGGUUGGUCUCCCCACCACCCCGGCCUUCCCUCCGCAUGCAACAGCACCUCGGCGCCCGAGGCGGGCAGGUGCUGGUUGGCACCCCCAGCUGGGACCGGUGGCCCAGCAAAGGUGACAGCAGGACGCCGCGUCCCCUCCCAACCAGGGCAGGAACACCAGGAGCCAUGUGGGAAAGCAGGAAAACGAGAAGCCAGCUGCUCGGCUCCCUCUGUGCGAAGCCCGGAGGAAACGGACGGGGACGGCGAGCCCUGGCUGCUCUGCCCGGCUACGACACGCACGGGUUUUCACCACCGCUCGCUAAAAUGACAAGUUCCAAAGAGAUCUUGGCUCAGGGUUUCCUUACUGAACCUUUCACAACAAUCAGAGCUUGCGCCUCGGCUAAAUCGUUGUGUCGGGAACCCCCUGCAUCUUCCCCAUCCGAUGCGAGGGGGAUCAGAGCGCCCGGGGAGCAGGGGAAGCAAAGGAUGGAGAGUGGAGCUGAGGAGGGGAGAAAAACGCCCGUGGCAGCUGAACCGUGUGAAGCGGGACACACUGAAACCGGUUGCCCAGCUUUCCUAGCCCUGCCGGCUUCCUACUUGAGUUUCUACCCUCAGCCGGCCGUCCGGAAUGCUCCGCACAGCGCUCCGUGCGAGCUCUGCUCCUGAGCUCCGUGUCCUCCUCCGGGAUGCUGAGGCUGCUCUUUCAGGCUGGUGGAAGGGAUGCCUGGCUCAGCAGCGAGAGCACAUCUGGCUAUGCAAAGACCCUUUUUAUCCUAUGAGCAUCUUUUAUCAACAGCCAGAUAAAAAGCAUUCAAACCACCCUAACAAGUUCUCCAUAUUAUUCUCCCCUGGGCCCUUCGCGGCUCUGAAACGUUGGUGUUACGUUUCUGUCCCCCCAGAGCCGGAGGAACGGAUUUGUUCUCACUCGCACCCCAGAAAGUGCUUGUCCCCGCAUGCACGGGCCCUACUGCGGGGUGCAAGAGCUUUGGGGUGACCGCCAGCGCCCCGUGAGCCAAACAGGCGGUUGCUGGGGAGACCAAAGCCCCUCCAACUCAAAGAGCGGCGGCAAGGGGGGGCACCUCCCGCCACACGUUCCUCUGGUCUGCGAGGGGAGUUUAACAUCCACGAUUUGUCUUUAUGUCCCCAAACAGGCCCAGUUUGGCCAUGAGCUGAGAGAAAACACAAAGCGGGAACACGGGCUUCGAGUGAUGGGGGAUGACUCUGUCACUACCCACCCAGCCCUGGCUGGCACCUUCUCCCCAGCGCCCCAGCGCUGCUCUGGCACCUUAUUGCCCUCUCCUGAUUCAGCCUGUCGCAGUAUUUCUCUCCCACAGCAGCCGCCUUCAUGACUUGGGCACCGACAAUGCCCAAGAGAACAGCCCCAGACUACGACACACAGAGAAGCCAGAGAUGCCAGAGGAACUGGAGGCGAUGCCUGUGAGAGCAGGGCAGAGGCGGUCAGUCUCCCGUCCAACAAGGACAUUCCUCGCCGCACACGGGCUGCGUCACCUCGCUCCGCAGGGACUCCCACCCGCGCCCUGCUGGGACACACCAGCUCCUCACGGCCCUUCCCUCACUGGGUACGUGCGUUCCCCAAGGGAACAUCUCCAUGGGACACCUCGAGAGCGGGACGCUACAGCUGCGGUUUCAACACCCCAAUAAAACUGUACUUAGGCCUGAA